rnacentral:rRNA from 1 species
UUGGACCUUGAAUCAGGCCAAAAUACGUCA